UACGUAGGGGGCAAGCGUUGUCCGGAUUUAUUGGGCGUAAAGAGCGUGUAGGCGGCCUGGAAGGUCAGCUGUGAAAACUCGAGGCUCAACCUCGAGACGUCGGUUGAAACCACCUGGCUAGAGUCCGGAAGAGGAGAGUGGAAUUCCCGGUGUAGCGGUGAAAUGCGCAGAUAUCAGGAAGAACACCAGUGGCGAAGGCGGUCUGCUGGGCCGUUGCUGACGCUGAGGCGCGACAGCGUGGGGAGCAAACAGG
rnacentral:rRNA from 1 species